rnacentral:rRNA from 1 species
CCUACGGGAGGCAGCAGUGGGGAAUAUUGGACAAUGGGGGCAACCCUGAUCCAGCCAUGCCGCGUGUGUGAAGAAGGCCCUCGGGUUGUAAAGCACUUUCAGUGAGGAAGAACGCCUGGUGGUUAAUACCCAUCAGGAAAGACAUCACUCACAGAAGAAGCACCGGCUAACUCCGUGCCAGCAGCCGCGGUAAUACGGAGGGUGCGAGCGUUAAUCGGAAUUACUGGGCGUAAAGCGCGCGUAGGUGGCUUGAUAAGCCGGUUGUGAAAGCCCCGGGCUCAACCUGGGAACGGCAUCCGGAACUGUCAAGCUAGAGUGCAGGAGAGGAAGGUAGAAUUCCCGGUGUAGCGGUGAAAUGCGUAGAGAUCGGGAGGAAUACCAGUGGCGAAGGCGGCCUUCUGGACUGACACUGAGACUGAGGUGCGAAAGCGUGGGUAGCAAACAGGAUUAGAUACCCGAGUAGUC